AGAUGGUGGAGGGAAAUUCAACUUUUUGAUUGAAUAUUUCACCUGUUUCUGAAUCCUCCGGUUCGUAAACAUUAGUUUAUGGAUUUCAAACCGAUGAGGUGUGGCUAAUAUACCGCCGAAUCAUUUUCUUUCUUUGGCAAAGGGGCAGGUUAAAUGUUUGAUUGGAUUAUCUGCUGAUUACCAUCUAUUGACAUAAUGCAAAGGCUUCUGUUCUGGAGCAUCAGUAUGCAUUGAUUGAUAAUAGAUAUACGAGUGGGCAACAUCCAAUGUUGAUGGCGUGCCUUUUGUGUUUGAUGCUUUGAAAACCUCAUGUUCAUGGGGGGCAUUUUCACAAAGAGGUUGAUGCUUAUGCUUUUAUCAGUGAGCAACUUAUGCAGAUAUCACUGUUUGUCUCACUACUGCUUUCUAAAUGUAUAAAAUUGCAUCGUGGCUUUGAUGUCCCGAGAGAGUUUAUACUACUAAAAUGUCACAAGUUACAAAUUCUGUUUCUGUAGGACAUGUAUUUCUAUCACUAUGAAAUUCAUAAAUGAAGUAGUUAUAUGAGGAUAUUUGGAAGGAAGAGUCUUGGAUAUUGUGAAAGACCCAUCGCAUUGUAGGCAUUUUAACUUCUGGUACUUUAAGCAAGUGCUAAAUGAGGAAGUUUUACUUCUGAUAUUUGAUCUGAAUUUGUUAAUUCUCCAGAUAUAUGUUUCAAAAAGCCUCGUCAUUUCUUUAGACAAACAUCUGAUGAGAAACAAGGAGACGGAACAUUCUAAUUGUACCUCAGUAUAUUUGUGUGUUCAAUUCAUUCCCUUAACAAUUUCAAGUCCUUUAAACCUUGCAAUGCCAACUUAAACAAUUAGAGCUGUUGUGGUUAAGCGGUCUUUCUUUCUUGUGCUUUUGACCAGUCAAGUCGUUAAUCUUCAGCAGGGUGUAGUGUCUGGAGAAUAGGACCAUGGUCUUAGCAAAUUGGUGGUGAAAACUUACCAGUCCAUGAUGUGCAGCUACAUAUCUUCUAUUAACUUCAAGUCUCUUUGCUAUUGUUUGAGCUAAUGCUCAAAAGGUGAGGGCUUCAGAAGAGGUAUUUUGUUUUAUCGAUUUGUUUGGUAGAAAUUUGUCAUGGUAGAAGGAAGUUUUAUUGCUCAUACUUAUUUUUGUCAAUUGAGUCAAUUUCUAUGAGGUUUUCUAUUUAAAAAUUUUGCUUAUUUUUCAAACUCAAAAUUAUUCAGUACCUGUUUUCUCAUACUUUUUUUUUAUAGCAUAUUCUGACAAAAGAAUUAAAAUUCGGAUUAUCAAUAUUUGUGCAAAGAUACAUGAGUUUCGUGAGAGUUGUUAGAACAAUAAACAGUAGCACUGGAUUGAGGAUCUUUCCAGUCGGAACUGAAGUGGUAUACAUUUUGCAUGUUGGGAAUUGUGGAAGACAAACUAUGCAGGAAGCAAUUAUCUUCACGUGCUUGAUGGCAACUCGGGUAUAGUUUUAUAAUAUGCUUGGUGGGGUAUACUUUCCACAAAGAAAGAAAUUCUCAUUAAAAAAUAGAUGCUACUUUCUGGAACUCUUAAACUUUUGCCUGAUCACCAUGGAUUUAUAUGUGAAGUAGAGUUGCAGAUCCAGGAAAUACUCCCCCAGCUACUUCUUCACCAACCAUAAAAGCUGCUGGUGGUUGGGAUAUAUUCUCCAGAAAGUAUCAUUUUCCUUUUGAUGUAAAUGUCAUUACGCAUGAGUUGCCUAAUCAUGGAAUUGGAAUCUCAUGCAUUUCUUUUCCAGCGAAUUUGUUGUAUGAAUUUGGUCAAUUAUGCUUAGUGGUUAACAGCUCGCAUAUAAGUUGUGCUGCUUGAGACCUUGAUAGAGACAAUAUUUGGUGCUCUAAAAUUCCAAAAAGCUUGAUUGAUCAUGGUGGAAGGCCAUUGGCGACCUCUCCUUUUCCUUCUUGCUUGCAUCUGAAUCCUGGAAUAAGUUCUUUUGUUAAUGCACUUAUAUGUAUCUACGGAAGUAUGUCUUGCUUUCCUGCUGCUGAGAAGUAUUACUGCGACGUGCUUUUUGGGUAUUGUGUUAUAGCUGCUGGAGUCUAAAUUUAUAUUUAACUUAUGAAAGCUGUUAGAACUUUUCUUUUAUCUUCAAGUGUCUUCAUUCUUAUUGGGUUUUUAAACUGAAGUUGAUUUGAAAGGACUGAGCGACAAGUGCUUGAAUGUUUAUAAUACGUAGGUUGAGGGGUCUGUUGGGCAUACUUGACUUCAACCAAUCUUUGAUUACCUGUACAGAGUAUUUAAGGUGAAACAAAUGUCAGGCAUUUAUUCUGUAUGAUGGGUUUGUUCCAGGUUCAGGCACCAACCUUUUCAAGAAAAGUUGGGGGGUGAGAACCGGAGGAAUGAGGGGAUAGAAUCUGUGAAUUUGAUUCUAAUCUCGAAGGGCAUAAUCUUUUAAUUAAUGUCAAAUCCUUGGCAGAGCCACUCGGUGAGCUGGAGACACAUGGACACUGACAUACAGGAUGUGGAUUUCAGGGAAGCUAUUUCUUAUUCAAGGAAACAGAGGAGAAACUGGUGCUUGAAGUUGCUCAGUCUGAGAUAAAAGGCAAACAAAAAGUUGAGCUGCUUUUUUUGCUUAUUGGGGCAGGAGAUGGUGGUGGGAGAGUGGGAGGGGCUUUCUGUUUCUUUUUGCUCAGAAGACAGCCAUCUUUGGUCCUCUUUCUGAGAGACAGUCUCUAUUCUGUUGUGGGUGAAGGGAUACAAAUUAAAUGGUUGGAAUGGGUGCACGUAAACUCCUCUGUUUUGCUCCCCUUUCUUCCAUCUGCCGGUACUGUACGCAGCCAUUAAACUCCCCUUGUGGUCCCAUUGGGAACCCAUACGCCAAACUGCACGUAUCCAUCAAUAUGAACAAAUUUUCAUUUUAGUGCAAA